rnacentral:rRNA from 1 species
AUGAACGCUGGCGGCGUGCCUAAUACAUGCAAGUCGAGCGAACGGACGAGAAGCUUGCUUCUCUGAUGUUAGCGGCGGACGGGUGAGUAACACGUGGAUAACCUACCUAUAAGACUGGGAUAACUUCGGGAAACCGGAGCUAAUACCGGAUAAUAUUUUGAACCGCAUGGUUCAAAAGUGAAAGACGGUCUUGCUGUCACUUAUAGAUGGAUCCGCGCUGCAUUAGCUAGUUGGUAAGGUAACGGCUUACCAAGGCAACGAUGCAUAGCCGACCUGAGAGGGUGAUCGGCCACACUGGAACUGAGACACGGUCCAGACUCCUACGGGAGGCAGCAGUAGGGAAUCUUCCGCAAUGGGCGAAAGCCUGACGGAGCAACGCCGCGUGAGUGAUGAAGGUCUUCGGAUCAUAAAACUCUGUUAUUAGGGAAGAACAUAUGUGUAAGUAACUGUGCACAUCUUGACGGUACCUAAUCAGAAAGCCACGGCUAACUACGUG